rnacentral:rRNA from 1 species
AGAGUUUGAUCAUGGCUCAGAACGAACGCUGGCGGCAUGCCUAACACAUGCAAGUCGAACGCAAGGUCCCGGUUCGCUGGGGUCUUGAGUGGCGCACGGGUGAGUAGCGCGUGGGAACCUGCCUUGUUGUGGGGGAUAACCGAGGGAAACUUCGGCUAAUACCGCAUGCGCCCGGGCAACCGGGGAAAGAUUGAUUCGCA